rnacentral:rRNA from 1 species
CCUACGGGUGGCUGCAGUGAGGAAUAUUGGUCAAUGGGCGCGAGCCUGAACCAGCCAAGUAGCGUGAAGGAUGACUGCCCUACGGGUUGUAAACUUCUUUUAUCAAGGAAUAAAGUCAGGCACGUGUGCCUUUUUGUAUGUACUUUAUGAAUAAGGAUCGGCUAACUCCGUGCCAGCAGCCGCGGUAAUACGGAGGAUCCGAGCGUUAUCCGGAUUUAUUGGGUUUAAAGGGGGCGUAGAUGGGUUGUUAAGUCAGGUGUGAAAGGUUGCGGCUCAACCGUAAAAUAGCAAUUGAUACUGGCAGGCUUGAGUACAGUUGAGGUAGGCGGAAUGCGUGGUGUAGCGGUGAAAUGCUUAGAUAUCGCGAAGAACUCCGAUUGCGAAGGCAGCGUACUAAACUGCCACUGACAUUGAUGCACGAAAGUGUGGGUAUCAAACAGGAUUAGAUACCCGAGUAGUC